AAUAUCGAAGUUGGAUGCGAAAUGGAAUUUGAAAGGCAGGGAUUCAAUGAGCAGCAAGAACUAGCACGCUUCCAACGCAA
rnacentral:rRNA from 11 species